GCAUUGGUGGUUCAGUGGUAGAAUUCUCGCCUGCUAUGCGGGAAGUCUGGGUUCUACUCCCGGCUAAUGCA